UGGGGGAUAUUGCACAAUGGGCGAAAGCCUGAUGCAGCGACGCCGCGUGGGGGAUGAAGGCCUUCGGGUUGUAAACUUCUUUUGCUCUGAACAAGGCGCACCAUGGGGUGUGUUGAGUGUAGGGGUUGAUUAGCGCCGGCUAACUACGUGCCAGCAGCCGCGGUAAUACGUAGGGCGCGAGCGUUGUCCGGAAUUAUUGGGCGUAAAGGGCUUGUAGGUGGCUGGUUGCGUCUGUCGUGAAAGCUCAUGGCUUAACUGUGGGUUUGCGGUGGGUACGGGCUGGCUUGAGUGCAGUAGGGGAGGCUGGAAUUCCUGGUGUAGCGGUGGAAUGCGCAGAUAUCAGGAGGAAUACCGGUGGCGAAGGCGGGUCUCUGGACAAAGACUGACGCUCAGGUGCGAAAGCGUGGGGAGCAAACAGG
rnacentral:rRNA from 1 species